GGCAGCCCACAGGCUGGCGCACACAGAGCCUGCUUGCUGGCCCUGAUGACAGGGCUUGAGCGGCCCAGGGGAGGGACAAUGGAGAGAGGAGCCGGCAGUCUGCUGACGCGGAAUGUGUGGAGUCUUGGGACAGCUGUUUGGGGGAGUUGUCCAGGAUUAAGGAGCUAAAUUUUGCAUGAAAAUCUGGCUCCCAGACCUGUCCUUGUGAAUUGUAAGGGCUCAGAGAUGACCACUGUGAGGGGAGCUCAAGGCUGGGGCACAGAGACACUGAGGAGACAGACCCCAAGCCAGGCGCAACCUGGGGCUCUGGGGCAGUCACGUGGGGAGUGCUGCCCUCUGUGUCAUGGCUUCCUGCUCUAAUCACCAAGCUUUCUGAUCUCAAGGCGUCCUGGGUGGGGACGGGAGACUCAAUAAAACCCUGAGCUUCCAUCUGCAGCCAGAGGGGUGGGGUUGGAGCCACUGUCACUCAGACAUUCAUGGGAAGGGCAUCUCCCCACUCACAAGGCUGCCAGUUCUGCGAUGUCUCAACCUCACGGACUCGGGGCCAUUCCCUCCCGAGUGUUUACUAUCCAGCUCACACAGUUAUGAUAUGCAAGGAAACAAAUGUCAUCAUAAAGUGAAAA